UACGUAGGGUGCAAGCGUUGUCCGGAAUUAUUGGGCGUAAAGAGCUCGUAGGCGGUCUGUCGCGUCGGCUGUGAAAACCCGGAGCUCAACUCCGGGCCUGCAGUCGAUACGGGCAGACUGGAGUUCGGCAGGGGAGACUGGAAUUCCUGGUGUAGCGGUGAAAUGCGCAGAUAUCAGGAGGAACACCGGUGGCGAAGGCGGGUCUCUGGGCAGUAACUGACGCUGAGGAGCGAAAGCGUGGGGAGCAAAAAGG
rnacentral:rRNA from 1 species